rnacentral:tRNA from 1 species
GUAGCUCAAAGGAUUAGAGCACGUGGCUACAAACCAUGGUUUUGGGGUUCAAAUCCCUCC